CUUCAAGAAAGGAAAUUGCCUCCAAGGAAGAACAAAAAGAAACCAAUGCCUCUCCAAAGGCUAUCACGAGGCUAGAUUGCUAACCCUCGUUAGCAAACAAGAGACCAGGAAUGUGCUGGAGAAUAGGAGCAGAAGAUGGCAACCAGGACACCAGAAACUUGAUGUUCCGCUUUGGGAGAACUCAUACGUGGCACCAUUCCUAUAAAAUGAGGAAAAUAGCUUUGAAGAUGAUGAUCUACUUCCAUCAUGAACAUUCUACCAAGCUUUCAGAAGGAAUGGUACCAGCUCCUCCUUGUACCUCUGGUAGAAUUCGGCUGUGAAUCCAUCUG